UCUUGAUCUGGAUGUAGCUCAAUGAUGGGCUGGGGAUGUGGCUUAGUGAUAGAGUGCUUGCCUAGCAUGAAUGAAUCUCUGGGUUUGGUUCCUUAGUACAUCAGCAGAAAAAGGGGAAAUGGUGCUGUUGUUCAAGUGGUAGAGU